rnacentral:rRNA from 1 species
AUUGAACGCUGGCGGCAUGCCUUACACAUGCGAGUCGAACGGCAGCAUGAUCUAGCUUGCUAGAUUGAUGGCGAGUGGCGAACGGGUGAGUAAUACAUCGGAACGUGCCCUGUAGUGGGGGAUAACUAGUCGAAAGAUUAGCUAAUACCGCAUACGGCCUGAGGGUGAAAGUGGGGGACCGCAAGGCCUCAUGCUAUAGGAGCGGCCGAUGUCUGAUUAGCUAGUUGGUGAGGUAAAGGCUCACCAAGGCGACGAUCAGUAGCUGGUCUGAGAGGACGAUCAGCCACACUGGGACUGAGACACGGCCCAGACUCCUACGGGAGGCAGCAGUGGGGAAUUUUGGACAAUGGGCGAAAGCCUGAUCCAGCAAUGCCGCGUGUGUGAAGAAGGCCUUCGGGUUGUAAAGCACUUUUGUCCGGAAAGAAAUGGCUCUGGUUAAUACCUGGGGUCGAUGACGGUACCGGAAGAAUAAGGACCGGCUAACUACGUG